rnacentral:rRNA from 1 species
GACGGAGGGGGCAAGCGUUGUCCGGAUUUACUGGGCGUAAAGAGCGUGUAGGCGGUCCGGUAAGUCCGCUGUGAAAGUCGGGGGCUCAACCCUCGAAUGCCGGUGGAUACUGUCGGGCUAGAGUGCGGAAGAGGCGAGUGGAAUUCCUGGUGUAGCGGUGAAAUGCGCAGAUAUCAGGAGGAACACCUAUUGCGAAGGCAGCUCGCUGGGACGUAACUGACGCUGAGACGCGAAAGCGUGGGGAGCAAACAGG